AUGAGCUUCCUCGCCGGGCGCCUCGCCGCCCAGGAAGGCGCCUACUUCCUCCAGGAGUCCAAGCUCGCUGCCGGCAGCCUCGCGGCGAAGCUCCCCGCGUCCGCUCGCGGGCCCAGGCCGGCGUCCCCGCCUCCUUCGCCCGACGUGCUCCCGGAGAUCCUCCGCCACUCCGUGCCCAUCAGGCCGACGCCGCCUCCGGCCGACCCCACUCUCUACGGCUCCACCCGCUGGGCCCUCCCACAGGGCGGCGCCGAGGCUGCCGGCGUGUCCCCCGACGUGAUGAACCCGCUCCGCUCGUACGUCGCGCUGCCGCAGGCCACCUUCGGCCCCAAAAGAUGGGAACUUCCAACUGAGCAGCCUUACUACUCGGCGGCAACCGCCAAUGAGCGGCGACGUGAUAUGCAUCCUCCUCCCAUGGACCCUGAGAAGUUGAAGGCUGUAAUUGAUGGAUACUCACAGGUUGGAAAGGCAUUUCUUGCUGGGACUGUUUUGGUGUUUGGAGGAGCAACAGCUGUGCUGUUGUACACGGCAAAUAAGCUACAGUUGCAUUCAGUAGACGACGUCAAAGCUAAAGGAAAAGACGCAGUGCAACCACAUGCCGAUAUGAUCAAAGAACAAAUAGCUCCACUAAGGAAAUGGGCUGAAGACACGUCCCGAAAAUGGCAUUACGAAGCCGACAGAGAGUCAGGGGAGAAGUCUGUCCUUGUUAGAGAGCUUUCAAGAGCACUCGGUGCUAAGACGCGUCCGACGGAUUGA
rnacentral:rRNA from 1 species